UACAGAGGGUGCAAGCGUUAAUCGGAAUUACUGGGCGUAAAGCGUGCGUAGGCGGUUAUGUAAGUCAGAUGUGAAAGCCCCGGGCUCAACCUGGGAAUUGCAUUUGAGACUGUGUAGCUAGGGUGCGGAAGAGGGAAGCGGAAUUUCCGGUGUAGCGGUGAAAUGCGUAGAUAUCUGAAGGAACACCAGUGGCGAAAGCGGCUUCCUGGUCCAGUACCGACGUUCAGGCACGAAAGCGUGGGGAGCAAACAGG
rnacentral:rRNA from 1 species